AUGAACGCUGGCGGCGUGCCUAAUACAUGCAAGUCGAGCGAACGGACGAGAAGCUUGCUUCUCUGAUGUUAGCGGCGGACGGGUGAGUUACACGUGGAUAACCUACCUAUAAGACUGAGAUAACUUCGGGAAACCGUAGCUAAUACCGGAUAAUAUUUUGAACCGCAUAGUUCAAAAGUGAAAGACGGUCUUGCUGUCACUUAUAGAUGGAUCCGCGCUGCAUUAGCUAGUUGGUAAGGUAACGGCUUACCAAGGCAACGAUGCAUAGCCGACCUGAGAGGGUGAUCAGCCACACUGGAACUGAGACACGGUCCAGACUCCUACGGGAGGCAGCAGUAGGGAAUCUUCCGCAAUGGGCGAAAGCCUGACGGAGCAACGCCGCGUGAGUGAUGAAGGUCUUCGGAUCGUAAAACUCUGUUAUUAGGGAAGAACAUAUGUGUAAGUAACUGUGCACAUCUUGACGGUACCUAAUCAGAAAGCCACGGCUAACUACGUG
rnacentral:rRNA from 1 species